UAGGUCUGUGCUCAGCUCAUCUGCAUAUGGUAAACAAUAUCUCAACAUCCAUCAAAAACGAAUGCUAAUACAAAUACAAGUAGAAAUAGCUGAAAAUUAGAAAUUAAUGACCCUUGUUCCCAUUUUUUCCAAUAGGAGUUUGCAAACUUUUUGAGUCUUUCUUAAUGUUAGUUCUCCAUUUCGUUCUUUUUUGUCUCAGUUCACAAGCGUACAAAUCUGAACUCCCCUGAUAGGAAAACAAUGUUUGAUAAAUUACGCUAUAAAGCAUAGACGGACAGAGCCUAUUAAUAAAAUAACUGUCAUCCAUUUAAUGUAUGUACCAGUAACGAUGUUUAUUUCAGGUUAAGAUCUCAGGCAGUCAGGAUAUGUAUCUAAGAAUUAUAAAACCUGUGCUUUUACCCUAUCGUAUGGACACAAGCGCGUUCUAGACAACAUGGCAUCCAAUGAUUUAUAGCCCAUGUUGUCUCUAUUUACCGUGCCAGACACAUCUCCAAAGGAUCAAGAACUUUACAUCGAUGAUUUCCUACGAUAAUUUCAAUCUGAAUGCCAUGUAUUUGUUCAAUUGACAACAUCUAGAGUAACAUCUCUUCCCUAUUGCUGUGAUAAGACGUGUUUUUGUGUUGGACGUCACUCUAUUGACCAUGUGGUUUAUACAAAUAGUUUAUUAGUCUUAUCAAAAACAUUUAUUAAUAUAUCAUAUUUCUGCAUGUAGUUAUACGUCUAUAUAUUAACAUUUAACCCAUGGACACGGAGAUACAUAAUUCUUGUUUUGUGUGUUGACGUAUUGACAAAAGCAUCUUAAUAAAAAUUAAAAUAA